rnacentral:misc_RNA from 1 species
AAAAAUUAAAAUCACAAAUCAAUUGUUAAUAGCAACUAAUUUCAGUCAGUUGCAAUAAUCGGUUGUAAAAUUAAAUUUUUUUUAUAGUGCUAGGCAUGCAUAAUUAAGUCUCUAAUAUUUUAGUGUAAGAAAAAAAAAUAAAGAGAUUAUAUAACUAGUUUAACCCUUUUAGCAUUAUCAUGCAGAUAAUUAAAAUUCUUGA